GGGUGCGAUCAUACUAGCGUUAAUGCACCGAAUUCCAUCACAACUCCGCAGUUAAGCGCGCUUGGGCCAGAGUAGUACUGGGAUGGGUGACCUCCCGUGAAGUCCUUGUGUUGCACCCC
rnacentral:rRNA from 1 species